rnacentral:rRNA from 1 species
CUACGGGGGGCAGCAGUGAGGAAUAUUGCACAAUGGGGGGAACCCUGAUGUAGCAACGCCGCGUGGAGGAUGACGCAUUUCGGUGUGUAAACUCCUUUUAUAUGUCAAGAAAAUGACGGUAGCAUAUGAAUAAGCACCGGCUAACUCCGUGCCAGCAGCCGCGGUAAUACGGAGGGUGCAAGCGUUACUCGGAAUCACUGGGCGUAAAGGACGCGUGGGCGGGUUGGAAAGUCAGGUGUGAAAUCCUACAGCUUAACUGUAGAACUGCACUUGAAACUUCUAAUCUAGAGUAUGGGAGGGGGAGAUGGAAUUAGUGGUGUAGGGGUAAAAGCCGUAGAUAUCACUAGGAAUACCUAAAGCGAAGGCGAUCUCCUGGAACAUUACUGACGCUAAGGCGUGAAAGCGUGGGGAGCAAACAGGAUUAGAUACCCCAGUAGUC